GACGGAGGAUGCAAGUGUUAUCCGGAAUCACUGGGCGUAAAGCGUCUGUAGGUGGUCUAAUAAGUCAACUGUUAAAUCUUGAGGCUCAACCUCAAAACCGCAGUCGAAACUAUUAGGCUAGAGUAUAGUAGAGGUAAAGGGAAUUUCCAGUGGAGCGGUGAAAUGCGUAGAGAUUGGAAAGAACACCAAUGGCGAAGGCACUUUACUGGGCUACUGCUGACACUCAGAGACGAAAGCUAGGGUAGCAAAUGGG
rnacentral:rRNA from 1 species